rnacentral:other from 1 species
GGAAUCCUGAGGUGCACGAAUUCUAUUGUAUUUAACCCACAGUUAAAAUACGGGAAUCCGGGUUUGCGGAUGGAUAUCAUGCCUGACAUGGGAAGAUAAAAGUUCGCAGCAGGUCUCCCACCUGUCGUGAGGCGGGUAUUAAAUUCAUAGAAGACCGACAUCUUGGGAAAAUA